UCUGGCCUUGUGUCCCUCUACAAUCGAACACAGGACUAUAUUGCUCAUAACAGUAAACCUUAGGUUACUAUCUAUCAAAUGUGUUAUACAACAACCCAUGCGAGGAAGCGGCUUUUACACAAGUUGCUAGUAUUGCUCGAUGGGAUUUACACCAUAAAAGAUCACAGGGCAAGACAUUCUCUUGGAUUUGGCUGUCAUAUUUGGCUCCUCAGUAGAUUCUUAGGUGUGUUGAGCUGCUGGACAAUUAAGUUUAAUCAAGGUAGGCAGAGGAAGUGUAUCUGAUAUUCAUGCUAUCAUCCUACCAGAAAAUGCUUGUGGCUCAAUAUACCCAUAAUGGAAGGACAACUGAGGUUCAAGUUGCUACCCCAUUGGAAAUUUCUGUUCCUAGCUUAAAAGAAUGCUUUUCUUCACAUGGAUUACUCUGUUUUUGGAUCCAGUGACAAAAGCACCACUGAAUUGGAUUUGUAAUGUAUGAAGUGCAGGAAGUGCAGCUCGGCUCUUAAAGCUUUUGUAUUCUGGUUUUCUUCAAGAGAAUUUUUAGAACAUGUUAUUUUAAUCAAGAGAUUUAAAACUACAAGUAUAAUGUUUGAGGUGUUGCUUGGAAGAUUGACAAUUGCGAAGCUUCAUCCUUUGUUGUAUACUAUAUUGUGUGAGUCUGCACACAAAUUGGUCUUCUAUUAACCUCAGUAUUGCCUAAUCUGUUUUCAGAUUCAGUAGACUGGCUUGUGUCUGGAACAUAUGAACAUAAGUGUUCUACAGUUGCUGCAGACUUAGCAACUCCAAAGAAUGAGCGGGAAUCUACUGCCACUGCUGCAAUGGCCUUAGCCCAUGACUACAACAGAAGACUGAUUUUACUAUGAAUACCAUGAGAUCUGCUGCCAACCUGUCUUUUCCUGUUAUGAACAUUGGCUACCAACAUGAUACAGAAUCAACAAGCAACAAGGCAGAUCCUGAAAAAUAGGACCUGGACAUGGCAAAAACCAAAGAUCAAACAAGUUGGCUGGAAUUGUUUGAAUGGGCUAUCACUCAUCUCAAAGGCAAUAGCUCUAAAGCAGCUAUUUGAAAAUUGGCUUGGUGGGCUGCUGUGUAUUAUCUAUGGCAGAAGAGCUGUAAUCCACUCAAGGAAGAUAAACAUAGGAGCAGAUAGUUAAGGAUAUUUAGAGGGAUAUCAAAGGCAGAGUGGAGAGCAAAAGUAGAGCAAUUGACUCAGUGCCUAACAGAAUAUUGUGUUGCAAAUGGGGCAUUAACCCUGCUUUUCUGUGUAAAAGGCCAUGUUAGGCUGUCUGUGUUUGCUGCUGUGUAUCUAUUA